rnacentral:rRNA from 1 species
GACAGAGGUGCCAAGCGUUAGGCGGAAUCACUGGGCUUAAAGCGUGUGUAGGCGGAUCGUUAAGUACCUUGUGAAAUCCCACGGCUCAACCGUGGAACUGCUGGGUAUACUGGCGAUCUUGAGCCACCUAGGGGCGAGCGGAACAAGCGGUGGAGCGGUGAAAUGCGUAGAUAUCGCUUGGAACGCCAACGGUGAAAACAGCUCGCUGGGGGUGUGCUGACGCUGGAGACACGAAAGCCAGGGGAGCGAACGGGGAUUAGAUACC